CAGAAAAGUCGGAAUAUUCAAAAGUCUGAUUUUAAAAGUAGUAACAGGUGCCCAAGUUUAGGUGCAAACAGCUAGUUUUUGUUCCAUUCUUCCCCAUUAGCCCUUUCUCCCUGGCUGGCCUGGCUGAGGGGGAGGACAGCUCCCCAGACCCCUUCUCUCUGUCUUCUGUGUUCACCUGUGAGUCAGCCUCACACAAGGUCAACAAGGGGAAGUGGAAGGACAGGAAUGCGAUCCCAUUACUCCUGGGGAUCGCAGCCAAGGAAAACAGGAAGCAGCAUGUUUUUAUUGCCUCGUACACUUUCAUUCCUGUUACGUGGGCACACAACCCCAGGAGAAAAAUGCAAUUCGGUAGUGACCUGAUAGCCAUAUUGUUGAAACCUCGGUCCAAGAAUGAACGCUCUAACAGGCAUCCCCCUUGGAGCGGAUUGCGGGGUCCCCAGACCCUCCGACCGGGCCUUGCAGGGCGCACCUCUCACAAGUGACCCUGAUGCGCUCGUCGCUGGACGACUGCUGCUCGUCCUCCUUCUCUCGGAAGUACUCCUGCACGCACUGCUCCUCGAACUCGUGCAGCCUCUUCAGCUCCUCUUCGCUGAGGAACAGCUCUGUGGAGGGAGACAAGUGUCUGCGCGUGAACACAGAUCUUUGGAGGAUCCCUUUAGUUACAUCACUGGGAAUUUCACAACCAGAUUUCAGCCAAGGUCCUUUCACCACUUGUGGAUGGCUUUUUGAUUACUCCAUUCAGUUAAUAUCCACCCCCCCCAAAAAAAAAGCUGUCAGAUGCAGCAAUCAACUCUCUAAGCGAAAGUGAAAUCAAACAGUAUUUUCUGGAGACUCUUUUGCACACAUUUUAUAAAACAUUUUGAAAGGAGCUUUGGAUUUUUAUAAACAUGCAUAUGUGAGGAAUAUUAACCCCCUCCACUUCUGAACUCCACGAGCUGGAUUUCAGCACUAUUAAUUACUGAUAAAGGGGGCAAAGCUAAAAUAGGAUCCAUAGAAAGUAAGAAGCAUUCCAAAAAGCAUAGCCAUUGGAGGGCUGAAUUUUUCACAUAAAUAGCUUAGUAAUGUUUACAUGAAGGUAUCCAAUUGGAACACUGAUUUUAAAAUUAGCCCCAAAUAGGAGAAUUUUGAACCUACUCAAGCCACGAUCCCGUUCUUCUUGGUCCCCUUCUCUUUUUGUCCUGCAGCGACCACUGAGACGCAUAAUGAUUAUAUAGAUAUGGCUUAAAAUGAUCAUCGGAGGGGGCAGAACAGGCCUGUCAUGGAAUGUCAUAAUCAGUUGAUACCGCUGGAACUUCCACACUUGGUUGGAUAUUGAUUUUACUUCAAAGAAGGUAUUGCUUUAAAAAGAAAACAUGUCCACAGUUAGUUACAGUAUUUUUUAAUUGUGAUUUCCUAGAGUACUCCAAUUACAAUGAUAUUUGACAUCACGAAAUGGCUUUUAGACCAAUUGAUACUGACUCCUUGGUUACCUGAUUUUUGGGGGAUUUGUUUAUCUGCCAAUGUGUAUUAUCCAUGCUCAGUGACAUUUUAUUCAUAUAAAUAAUUAAGAGCUAGGAAUAGUAAAUUGAUAGACACUGCUUUCUUAAGAAACUACACCAUAAUCUAUUGACUCAUUUCCUGGGAGAUUUUAUAUUGUAUAUAUAAAUGUGUGUGUCAUUCAACUAAGCAUUUGUAAGUGUUUAGAAUUUCAACUCGGUCAAACAACUAAAUGACUACUUUUUAUAAUGGAACUGAUUAAUUAUUGAACUUCCUGAUUGAGGAGGUGUUAUUUUGGAUAUGAGGUAGGUAUGAUCUGCCUUGUUUUUGCCAACAAGAGGCAGUAAAUAGAGGACUGCAUAACUGCAAACACUGGGUCUUAGGAAAGCCAGUUAUCGUAUAGAAACUUUGGUUUUCUUAUCUUUCAGCAAGGAGCUGGAACCAGGUUCUCUCUAAUGGCCUGUUCAAUGCUAACAUUUUCAUAUUGCUAUGAAAAAUAUUUUUCCCUCAUACUUAGAAGCUAAUUUUUUCAACAUUUAUUAAGCAUGAUCAACAUAAUCACAUCAUACAAAUUGGCAAUUUUUAUUAGAAAUUUGAUUUAAUAAUUUAAGCGAUUUCCCCCCGGCCAUUUUCUUUCAUAUGUUAUAAAUAAAAAAGAUAUUUCAUAUAAUGUUACAGUCAUAGUGACAGGGUGUGACAUUAAUGUUGCUUUCUGUAUCUCUAAUAAUGAAUGAAAAACAAAAGUUUUUUGCCUUAACAGACUCUGAACAAAAAUAUUUUCACUAGAGUGAAAUGCAGCUGUACUAUUAAAAUAUUAACCAUGAUUAGGUUUAACUGUAUUUCAGUGUCAACUUCUGAUUUAUAAAUAUAUUAGGGAUGAUUAAGGUUGCAUAAAAAAGACGCAAAAAUUCUAUCCAUUUAAAAGCCUUGGGGAACGUCUCCUCACAGAUGUGGUGGAUGAGAGGUUUCUGAGGUUAAACCGGAAACCUGUGACACUGUGAGUAAUGACCGCACGAUCGUCCACCGUGACACCUACUUGAAUACAGCAAUCAGCAGGUUGACCAGCAGGAUGUUGGCUACGAGCAGAUAGCAGGCCAUGAGAGCAGGCGUGAGCCAGGCGCCAGGGAUGCAGGGCGGGAGCCGCUUGCCUUCCUCGUCAUAGAGGUUUUCGCCACAAGGGGCUGAAAGAAAAACCUGCCUUUUUGUGCUUCCUUUGAUAAUGAGAGGAUAACUAGCCAUUAUUAAUAUUUUUAAUAUGAUGAAGAGCAUCAGUUCUUACAAAAAGAUGGUUUUUAAGAUCCUUCUGUCUACACUCAGUCUUUCUUACUUUGCCAUACUGGCACACAUUUUCCCAUUUCUUUAACGUUUUUCUCACAUAAACGCUCUUAAUGAUUAAACAGAAACCUGCCUUUAUGGUGUCUCACCAGAUGGUUAGCCACGAGAAAGUUGCGAUUUUUAGUUAUUCAGCAUUAGCUUGUGUUGUCUUCUGGUUGCUACUUUGGUGACAUUUGUACAUUAAAUUUGAAAAUAAUUUUGUUCUGAAGUGCGGUUCUGAAAUCCGCACUACUCUGUCAGAUCAACUGUCCUGGGUCUCUGUUGGAAAAAUAACCUUCUCCCUGUGCUCACUGAAAUGCCACUUUGAUCACAGGAGAUCUAUUUCCCAAAGGAAAAAAGUAUGCAAUGUUAAAUUUAUAGUCUUUUUAUUUUCUGCUUGCAGUUUAAAGAAGUAUAAAACAGCAUAACACUUUCAGUGUGCAACUAAAGAAAAGUCUACUUAAUAAACACAUUAUGAUCUAAAAGAAUUAAUUCCAUUCAACUUACGAUUAAUUUCCAUGGCGUACACUGCACAGUGAUUGGAAAGCAGGAAUUUUGUUUGGUUUUUUAGUUGUGAUGGGAGAGGAGGGAAGGAAAAGAGAUGAUGGUUGAGAGAAAAGUCAAACAAAUGGAUUAACAACAUAAGGACUAUUUCACUGUUGAGAAAUAUAAAAGCUUCAGCUUUGGAUUCACAGAUUCACACUCAGAAACAAAGCUCUGUUUAGAAGAAUUAUACGUAUUGCUUAUUAGUCCUUGGAAAAGUAUUUCAUGAGUACUUAUUUUGCCAUAUGUCAUAAGCAACAGGAAAGGUCUUUAGUUAAAAAUACUGUGGAAAAGAUUUGAUGUUACUGGCAGAUGAUCAUUUUAACUUACAGGCUAAUAAAUCAAGCAUUCUGGGUAUGCCAGCACAAACACCCCAUCAACACAAAUAGGUACAAAAUCCUUACGUAAUAGGUCAACAAUUUUCAAUUCUGACAUUUAAUGGUGUCACUGAACAUAUUAUGGUUUUAAGGUUACCUUUUUAUCUUCUCUCAUCCGAUUUAAUUUUAAAAAGACAACAACAAAAAUAUAUCUGGAGUUCAGGGACUCUUAAAGAAAUCUCUCUCUCUCUCUCUCUCUCUCUCUCUCUCUAUAUAUAUAUAUAUAUAUAUAUAUAUAUAUAUAUUAGGCUAAUAUA